AUAAAAGACAGCAGAAGACUUGCAUGCUUCAUUUCCCUGACCAGAUUUAUAUACCGCAGCAGCACCCUAGCAGGUGCUGAGAUUCUGAAGUUCACAGAAGCAUUAAGUCAUUAUUCAAAUGAAAAGCUGCUUUUACCUAUUAACAUAUUUUCAUCAACAACUAAAAAGCAAGAUGCUGAUAUGAGGGGAGAUAUGUGUAUUCUUAUUUAUAUGGUAAUUGAAUGGUCAGGGAAUUUGCCUGUUAUUUUCCUAAGACAUGGCAUGUGUCAAUUAAAACUAUGUUGCGCUACUGUUCUAAUGGAACCUGGCACCAUUAAGAAAUCUUUUCUUCUUCAUAAGAUGUGAUGGGGAGAGAAGCACUGAAAGUCAACCAAUUUACGCAACCUACUUUGUAAUAUGAUUGCUGGCUUUUGCCUUUCUACAGACAAAGCAAAAUUAAUAAUUCUUCUCUGUAACAAGUGACAAGAAAAUUAUUUCUGUCUAUCAAGCACAUCCUAAGUAAGAGUAAGAAUAUUGUUUCCCCUCCCAUAAAUUUGCAUAUUUAGAGUGUUCUUAGUAAAAUCUGGGGCGUUAUAAUUCAAUGGCUCAUAUUCUUUGUCAAUCAGGCUUCUUUCAAGAGUGAAAACAUUUUAAAAAGCCAGCAUACAACUGCAAUUCCCUUUCGUCGAAUCAGCACAUGCUGUAAAUCAUGGUGCAAAAAACUUGGGCUUCAUUGCAAUGGGCAGAGUUCCACUGAAGCUGAUGGUGCUGUGUUUGGGCUGAACUGGGUCCAAAAUGUCCAGCAAACUUCCCUGCAAAUGCAUCAUUAACAGCAAUAAUGGUCAGUGCUGAAGAGACACCCUGAGAACACAUACCUUAUUCUUGUAAAAGAAUCGUUUUAAUACCCUAGUUUCAUCACUCAGGCUGGAGCUACUGCUUAGUAUUCAAGCUGGGAGAUCCAUUCAUCACUGUUUUAUGCCUACCUGGAUUUCUAUUCAUGCAAAUUCUCCAGGGCCUCACCAAAAAUAAAACAAAAAGACAAAUCA
rnacentral:lncRNA from 1 species